GUGAACCUGCGGAAGGAUCAUUACCGAGUGCGGGCCCUCGCGGCCCAACCUCCCACCCUUGUCUCUAUACACCUGUUGCUUUGGCGGGCCCCACCGGGGCCACCUGGUCGCCGGGGGACGCACGUCCCCGGGCCCGCGCCCGCCGCCGCCGGAGGACCCCUAAACUCACUUGAUUCCACGGUGUAUCUUCUGAGUGACACAAGCAAAUAAAAUCAAAACUUUCAACAACGGAUCUCUUGGCUCUGGCAUCGAUGAAGAACGCAGCGAAAUGCGAUAAGUAAUGUGAAUUGCAGAAUUCAGUGAAUCAUCGAAUCUUUGAACGCACAUUGCGCCCGCCAGUAUUCCGGCGGGCAUGCCUGUUCGAGCGUCAUUUCAACCCUCGGGCCCCCGGGCUUGGUGCUGGGGAUCGGCCGUCACGGACCGGAGGCCGCCCCGGCGGCGGCCGCCCCCGAAAUCGAGUGGCGGUCUCGCUGUAGCCUCCCCUGCGUAGUAGCAACACCUCGCACCGGAGAGCGGCACGGCCACGCCGUAAAACCCCCCAAUUCUGAAGGUUGACCUCGGAUCAGGUAGGAAUACCCGCUGAACUUAA
rnacentral:rRNA from 1 species